UACGUAGGGACCAAGCGUUGUUCGGAUUUACUGGGCGUAAAGAGCUCGUAGGCGGCUCAGUAAGUCGGGUGUGAAACCUCCAGGCUCAACCUGGAGACGCCACCUGAUACUGCUGUGGCUAGAGUCCGGUAGGGGAGCGUGGAAUUCCUGGUGUAGCGGUGAAAUGCGCAGAUAUCAGGAGGAACACCAGCGGCGAAGGCGGCGCUCUGGGCCGGAACUGACGCUGAGGAGCGAAAGCGUGGGUAGCAAACAGG
rnacentral:rRNA from 1 species